UACGUAGGGAGCAAGCGUUGUCCGGAAUCAUUGGGCGUAAAGCGCGCGUAGGUGGCCUCAUAAGUCCGCUGUGAAAGUCAAAGGCUCAACCUUUGAAAGCCGGUGGAUACUGGGUGGCUAGAGUACGGAAGAGGCGAGUGGAAUUCCUGGUGUAGCGGUGGAAUGCGCAGAUAUCAGGAGGAACACCAAUAGCGAAGGCAGCUCGCUGGGACGUUACUGACACUGAGGCGCGAAAGCGUGGGGAGCGAACAGG
rnacentral:rRNA from 1 species